GCAUUGACUAUAACAACUCGAAUCAGUACACGAUUAUUUGUCAAGUGAGUUGGUCAGGAUAAAAAAUUAAGUAACGCCAAGUUUUACUUUAAGAAAAAAUAAAAAAAUGAGCUGUCCUUGUGGAAGUGGUUGCAAAUGUACCUCACAAUCCCAGAGUGGACGCUGUGCUUGCGGACCGUCAUGCAAAUGUGCCACGAACAAAAAGUAAUUUAUAUACAACUAAAAUAAAAGAGAAAUAAAAUACGAAUCAUGGCAGACAAACAGUAAUAUUCUGCAUCACAUAAAUGGUUUAUUUACAAAUAUACACGAUAUCAACUUUGUCAAUUUAUCUUUACAUAAACAAAAUGCGAUGAAAAUAAACUUCGUUGACCUCUAAGGAAACAAAUGUGAGCAUGUUUAAUUGAAGAGAACUCUUUCAAUUUAACCUCAGCGUAUGUAUGUACAUAUACUAAUAUAUUUUGUAUAUGGUUAUAUUUACAUACAAGUAUGUGCAUUGUUGAAGUGCAUUUUAUGUCUAUUGCUCUCGUGAUUUUAAAUGUUGCUAGUCUUGAGGCAACGAAGGGUAUUCGUUAUCAUAGAGAACUGCUCAGUAAGUUUUUAUAUAUAUUUGAUUGUACAUAUGUAUACAUAUAUGUAUUUUAGUUUCUACGGUCAUGUAGAAUAUUCUAUUUGAGCUUUUUUACAUAAAUACAUAUGUAGAAGAGUGAUUAAUGCAACGAUUGCUAAACUUAUUUAAACAAAUCUCAAAAAAAUCGUAUAUCUCUUAAUAAAGUGACAUUUUCUUGUACAUCUUACAUAUUCCAUACAUACGUGUAUGUAUGUAUGUACUUACAUACAUGUAGAUAUAGGCAUAUAUAUGUAUACCUGAGUGAUAGUACGACACAAAUCGAUGACAUGAUCUACGACAUAUAGUACUAUAUUAAGCUCUAUUGAAGAGAGAAUGCUUACCAAAAGACAGGUGUCUUCAAACGUGUGCAAAUGUUUUAGCAAACGUUGUAAUUAAAAAUAUAUAUGAAAUGGUACUGCAUAAAUUUAUGAAACUCCGAACGAGCUACAUUUUUGUUGUUAAUUUUUAAAUAAUCUUACCUUUUUUCAGAAAAAAAGAAACGUGUAGGUAAAAUAGAACCGCUAGGCAACACUGGAGUCGAAUUACUUUUAAAUAUAAACAGGUCAACUGAUAUCGAUCAAUUAUGACUAUAAGUCAAUGUAUAUAAUAGAGUUCCACGUACUCCGCUGGACCAAAUGUUUAAAUUAAUUUAGAAUGUACUCGUAAGAUUCUAGAUAUUAAAUGUAGACGAUCCAUCAUAGAUGGAUCCACCUUUUUCAACUUCGAACCAUUGGGUUCGGCGUAUCAUCAGAAUUAUAUUGUCCGAAUGAAGUAUUUUUAUAAAACUACUGAAUUUAAGGAGCAAACCUAGUGUAACAGCGUAAAAAAAUACGAUUUUUAUAUACAGAACAGGUAGAAAAAAUUCGAUAAAAAAUCUCACCUCAUCAUUUGUCUCCGAGUAAUCACUCAAGCAAUCAAAAUAGAUGGAGCUUAUUGAACUAAGCGGUGUAGCCAUUGUAACUCAAAAACUAUUUGAGAUAUCGAUUUCAAACUUUAAUGUGUUAUUUUUGUAAUCACAUUCACAACAUCGCAGUAUAAUUGGCAAUUAAUGAAAAUUCAAAGAAAAAUUAGUUUUUUUCAAAAUAACAUGUUGUACCAUACUAAGCUAUAAAAAAUAACAGCUGUAUUUCAAAACGUUAGCAAAUUAUUUUUUCCAAUAUAGCUGCUAUAAGUCAAAAUCAAUGCGUCAUUUGGGUACAUGUGUUUAAGAAACGCUGACUCAACGAGGCGAAAUACCUGAUUUUGAGAGCAUAUAUUAAUUAACUGUGACGUUACGAACCCAUAAGCCACAGACUACUCAGUUGCCAUCAGACAAGUACAUAUGUAUGUUCGUACAUAGUCAAUUGUCACUUUGCACACUGCACUACAGAGUUACCAAAUGCCAAGACGUGAAAGACGAAGUGGAAACUGUCUCGAAUCAACCAGAAAGAAGAGUAAGUUCUGAGAAGGCAGAAAACGAGCUUCUAUAAAAGCAUAACACAACCGGCUUUGGUGAACAGUGAGCGAACGUUUGCAUUAGACAAAGUACAAAGCGUUUAUUUAUCACAAUUCAGUGCUGAAAAGUGUUUAUCCAAUAACAAAAAAAUAUAAAAUAUAGUGAAAAUGCCGUGCCCCUGUGGAACUGGUUGUAAAUGUGGCACUCAAGGCCAAGGCAAUUGUGGUUGUGGCAGCGGAUCCUGCCAAUGCGGCAGUGGCAAAGGUUGCUGCGGCAAAUAAAAUGGUGUGGCAGUAUUGAGUGCAAUUUGCAUUAUCUAGCGCUGUGUGGAAAAACCAUGAAUUAUUGAAUCCAUAUCCAUUUAUUAAACAUUUAAACGAAAUUUAUUUAGUAUUAAAUUCACCACAUCAUUUAGAAGCGUAAAUUAUAUUAUAGAUUACACAUUAGAUAUUUAAAUUAUGAAUGCGUAUGCAGAGCAUAUUUGGCUCCAAUAAAUGUUUAUUUUGAAA